UGAGCGAUAGAAGGUAGCGAUUGCCAAGU
rnacentral:piRNA from 1 species